CCCAGCUCAUCAUGCUAGAGCACUUUUUCAAUGUGCACCCCAACGAGAAGGCGACGACGCAUUCGUAUGUCAAUCCAUAUCAACUUUCGAAGCCAUUGACUACGUCUAUCUUGGUGACCAUGGGUAACGGGGAAUCAGGGUUCGAUUACGUACAGAGACUUUGACAAAUGGCUACCACAUACAAGGAAGGCAGCAGGCGCAUAAAUAACCCACUCCCGACGUGGGGAGGUAGUGACG